GGCCUAACACAUGCAAGUCGAGCGGUAACAGAGAGGUGCUUUGCACCUUUGCUGACGAGCGGCGGACGGGUGAGUAAUGCUUGGGAACAUGCCUUAAGGUGGGGGACAACAGUUGGAAACGACUUGCUAAUACCGCAUAAUGUCUACGGACCAAAGGGGGCUUCGGCUCUCGCCUUUAGAUUGGCCCAAGUGGGAUUAGCUAGUUGGUGAGGUAAUGGCUCACCAAGGCGACGAUCCCUAGCUGGUUUGAGAGGAUGAUCAGCCACACUGGGACUGAGACACGGCCCAGACUCCUACGGGAGGCAGCAGUGGGGAAUAUUGCACAAUGGGCGCAAGCCUGAUGCAGCCAUGCCGCGUGUGUGAAGAAGGCCUUCGGGUUGUAAAGCACUUUCAGUCAGGAGGAAAGGUUAGUAGUUAAUACCUGCUAGCUGUGACGUUACUGACAGAAGAAGCACCGGCUAACUCCGUGCCAGCAGCCGCGGUAAUACGGAGGGUGCGAGCGUUAAUCGGAAUUACUGGGCGUAAAGCGUACGCAGGCGGUUUGUUAAGCGAGAUGUGAAAGCCCU
rnacentral:rRNA from 1 species